rnacentral:rRNA from 1 species
AUUAUUGAAGUAUAAGAGUGCACUUCAUUGUGGCUCGACCCUUCAAAUCCAUACACUGUGAACCGUAAUACUUUUAUUACACCCUACAAGUCUAUGGAUGUACACUUUGUUAAAGUCGUAUAACUUUCAACAACGGAUCUCUUGGCUCUCGUAUCGAUGAAGAACGCAGCGAAAUGCGAUAAGUAAUGUGAAUUGCAGAAUUCAGUGAAUCAUCGAAUCUUUGAACGCACCUUGCACCCUUUGGCAUUCCGAAGGGUACAUCUGUUUGAGUGUCCUGAAUACCUCAACCCUUAUAUUUUUAAAAAUUAUAAGGGUCGGAUGUUGAACGUUGCUGUACCCUUACAGCUCGUUCGAAAUGUAUAAGCAAUCAUCCUACAAUUUGGAUCGACCCAGUGUGAUAAAUCUUUAUCAUUGGGGAUGUCUUCAAGGCAGCCAAUUUUUAGUAUGAAGCUUCGAACCCUUUCCUUGAUCUCUAGACCUCAAAUCAGAUGGGACUACCCGCUGAAC